UGAAGCACCCAGGAUGUUGAAGCGCUCUACAGUUUUGAUUUCACUCUGUUCCUUGUUAACGAUGUUUGUUUUAUGGGUUUUGAUCCGAGAUGGUCUUCCACAGACACUGAGGUCCUCAGGUUUAAGUUUGGCUGACGUGAUGAGAGGUGUGUCUUAUACGUUGGGUACUUCCAAAGUUCGCAAGUUGUGGAACAUCAGUACCUCAACAUCCAUGUUUUUCGUGGAAACCAAUCCAAAAGUGUUGUCAUUGCCACCCAGAGUGAUGUGUGCCCUAGAGAGUGCUGCUCUUCAUAAUCCGGACCGACAGGUUUAUCACAUCGCUCAAAAAGAUAUCGGCGUUCACGAGUAUGAGAUGGUUUUACAUCAAUAUUCAAAUAUUCAGUUUCUCAAGAGGAACUUCAAUGAUUUGAUCUUGAGGUCACCGGUGGAGUCUAUUUAUAGCCAAACCUUGAGUGGCACGUCGUUCGAGGUCGAAAAUCUGAGUGAUAUUCUACGAUUAAUGGUUCUGUUUUUCUUUGGUGGGGUUUACAUGGACACUGAUGUGAUAUCUUUGAACAGAGUUCCAAGUGAUUUAAACUUCUUAAUUUAAUUUCGAACGAACUACAUAAACUUUGCAGUGGGUGGAUUUAAGUCUCACCAUCCAUUUAUUUAUGAGGCUUUGCUUAACAUGGCCAAGGAUUUUCAACCCGAACACUGGGCUUACAACGGACCAGACCUAGUAACUAGAGUGGCCAAAAUAUAUUGUCCCGCCCAUGGUGGAACGGCAUCCGAAAACAGUGUAGAUGGGAUGUGGUCUUGGAAAUGUGGAGACAUUCAGAUUUUGAAUCGUACCAAUGCUUACGCAAUCGACUACAGGGAUUUCAGAAAUCUGUUCAACACAUCUCAUUCCACAGAGAUUGAAGCUGCCAUUUCCAAUAGCUUUGCGAUGCAUUACUGGAACAAAAUGAUAAGUUGGCAUGGUAGAGUCACAUUGCGUGACGACCAACCUCUCUACAAGAUAUUUCGGCAAAAUUGUCCCGUUACUGAAGAAUUUUACUUGAGACCUCUUUUGAAUCAACGAUUCCAUAUUCGAGAUAAAUCGACGAAAAUGCGUAGAACAAUAGGCACUCACUCGGUUCAACAAAGAGUGGUCAAUUAAAACAUGCAAGACGUCAUGACUCAAUAGGCUCAUCGUACAUACUUUGUAAAGUUUAGAUAUUAAUAUUCUCUUGAUAUGCUAAAACACACUGUAUGUAAUAAAGAAUUCUAAAAUCAUUUUCUCAACUUCUUAUGUAUCACCAAAGUUCAAUUCAAAGAAGCUUAAACUUGGCUAGCCUGGGAUUAAAAAAGAUACUACAAAUUUGAGAUUUCAUUUAAUUCCACAAUAAAUACAACACAAAACAAUACAACUGAAUUUAUCAGGUUCUUGUGUUCCGAAGUCUCUGUAGGAGUGACAGCUCUACUACAAAUACGGGGAGUCGAGAGAUUGAUCUAGCCCUCUAGAUUGAUCCAACCGUUCUUGCCUAAAGUUGUGCCAGGGGUAUGGAUCAAAUUCUUAACUCCUUGAGCGAGGAGGCCAAAGCUUGCCUAGAGCUUGAUCUCCAUGGAAAGGAUUGCGGAACUAUAAAUAAACGGAUUAUCAUUAUUUUUC